rnacentral:rRNA from 1 species
CAAUAGCGUAUAUUAAAGUUGUUGCAGUUAAAAAGCUCGUAGUUGGACCUUGGACCUGGACAGGCGGUCCGCCUCACGGCGAGUACUGUCUCGCUGGGUCUUUCCUCUUGGUGAUCUGUUGUUUCGGCAGCAGGGAACCAGGACCUUUACUUUGAAAAAAUUAGAGUGUUCAAAGCAGGCUCGACGCCGGAAUAUAUUAGCAUGGAAUAAUAAAAUAGGACGUGCGGUUCUAUUUUGUUGGUUUUUGGAAUCGCCGUAAUGAUUAAUAGGGACAGUCGGGGGCAUUAGUACUCACAUGCUAGAGGUGAAAUUCUUGGAUUUUGUGAAGACUAACUUCUGCGAAAGCAUUUGCCAAGGAUGUUUUCAUUAA